GACGAACCGUGCGAACGUUAUUCGGAAUCACUGGGCUUAAAGGGCGCGUAGGCGGGUCGGUAAGUCAGGGGUGAAAUCCCACGGCCCAACCGUGGAAGUGCCUCUGAUACUGCCGGCCUCGAGGGGGAUAGGGGCGUGCGGAACUCAGGGUGGAGCGGUGAAAUGCAUUGAGAUCGGAAAGAACACCAACGGCGAAAGCACUCUGCUGGGCCGACACUGACACUGAGAGACGAAAGCUAGGGGAGCAAAUGGG
rnacentral:rRNA from 1 species